GACGAACGCUGGCGGCGUGCUUAACACAUGCAAGUCGAACGGAAAGGCCCUGCUGUUGUUGGGUGCUCGAGUGGCGAACGGGUGAGUAACAAGUGAGUAACCUGCCCUUGACUUUGGGAUAACUUCAGGAAACUGGGGCUAAUACCGGAUAGGAGCUCCUGCUGCAUGGUGGGGGUUGGAAAGUUUCGGCGGUUGGGGAUGGACUCGCGGCUUAUCAGCUUGUUGGUGGGGUAGUGGCUUACCAAGGCUUUGACGGGUAGCCGGCCUGAGAGGGUGACCGGCCCCAUUGGGACUGGGAUACGGCCCAGACUCCUACGGGAGGCAGCAGUGGGGAAUAUUGCACAAUGGGCGGAAGCCUGUUGCAGCAACGCCGCGUGCGGGAUGACGGCCUUCGGGUUGUAAACCGCUUUCGCCUGUGACGAAGCGUGAGUGACGGUAAUGGGUAAAGAAGCACCGGCUAACUACGUG
rnacentral:rRNA from 1 species